rnacentral:rRNA from 1 species
UACGUAGGGUGCAAGCGUUGUCCGGAAUUAUUGGGCGUAAAGAGCUCGUAGGCGGUCUGUUACGUCGGCUGUGAAAACCUGGGGCUCAACCCCGAACUUGCAGUGGGUACGGGCAGACUAGAGUGUGGUAGGGGAGACUGGAAUUCCUGGUGUAGCGGUGAAAUGCGCAGAUAUCAGGAGGAACACCGAUGGCGAAGGCAGGUCUCUGGGCCAUAACUGACGCUGAGAAGCGAAAGCAUGGGGAGCAAACAGG